GACGAACGCUGGUGGUGUGCCUCACGCAUGCAAGUCGAGCGGAUUUACUUAGUAGCUUGCUAUUAAGUAAGUUAGCGGCGGACGGGUGAGUAAUGCGUAGGAAUCUACCCUAAGGUAGGGGAUAACGGGCUGAAAGGUCCGCUAAUACCCCAUAUGCGGGUUCGUCUUCGGUAGGAUUCGUGAAAGGAAGCAAUUCGCCUUUGGUAUGAGCCUGCGUCUGAUUAGCUAGUUGGUAGGGUAAAGACCUACCAAGGCUACGAUCGGUAGUUGGUCUGAGAGGAUGAUCAGCCACAAUGGGACUGAGACACGGCCCAUACUCCUACGGGAGGCAGCAGUGGGGAAGUUUUACGCAAUGGGCGAAAGCCUGACGUAGCGACACCGCGUGAGCGAAGAAGCCUUUUGGGGUGUAAAGCUCUGUCAGCUGGAAAGAACACAAUGACGGUACCAGCAGAGGAAGCAUCGGCUAACUACGUG
rnacentral:rRNA from 1 species